rnacentral:lncRNA from 1 species
AGAGCUAAAUCCAGCCCUCUGUGGCUCCCUCUGAGCCCACUGUGGGAUGCACCUCGCUCCUGAGAAGGCGCUGAGCUGAGAGGAAGCCGCUGUGCUUUCUGAGCCUUGGCACAUCCUCACUUCCCGGUCCUGUUGCAUUUCCAGCCUCUGGACAAUCAUGUCACACCUCUGCUCUCCUGCCUGUCAUUAAGGCUCAUCUUUAGGAAACAUUUCUUGUCAGUUAGUCUUGCCAGAAUUCAAGAAGGUUAAGGGAGAAUAAAGGAUGGUCCAAAAAAGAACAAGGAAAAUGAAAAUUUGAAAAAGGGAGCCAUUCCUGAGAGGUUAUUUCACCUGCAGCAGAGUGACCGAGGAAGGAGUGCCUAGCUACCUUUAUGCCUGUGGAGGGAAGAGGUGCCUGGGCUGAUUUUUUUCCACCUUGGCAGAAGUGACUGGAGGCGGAGGAACAGGGAUCUUCAAUACGUACUCCCAUUCUGGGGCUGCUUCUGCUCUAAAAACAGAGCCAAGCAGUUCAGGAAAUCUGCCGAGAAGGCCACCAAGCAAAAUCCUAAGAGCAGCUGGUCUGGAGCCAGGCAGGUUGUGCUACAGUUGCAUGUCACUGUUGACUUCAGAAGAUGCUGCUGCUCUAGGAAGCAUAGAAGAGGUGAAUGCUGAGGGGAGAGAUGUCAAAGCAUGGGGAGAAAUGGAAAUCAGGAGACCAACUUACAAGCAAUUGACACUGGUCAAGUGAGAAGUUAGCGACAUGAAGUCGGCGGUGGCAGUAGCAAUGGAAAAGAGGAAGCAGGAUGAAAAACAAUGAGGAGAUGGACUCUUAAGGGCUUGCUAGGUGGAUGUGGGAGCCAAACGAAAAGUGAGGAACAAUCACAAUUUCCUGAUUUGGAGUGCUGGCAAAGAAAAAUGAUGGUUCUAUUAACAGAGUUAGAGGAAUCAGCAAGAUGACAGUUUGCUUGGAAUUCAGUGAAUCUAAGGCACAUACAAGUCCUCAUUUGAGGAGAAAAAAGGAGGAAGAGGUAUUGUGUUCGUUAGAUGCUGGGACAUGUAAGGCUAAGAUACAAGAGAUAGUCUUCCUUCAUGGCUUUGCUCAGGUUUCUGAAAUCAUAAAGAUUACAGGGCCCUGGGAAGUGAUAAAUGCUAUUGGAGAAUAUGUUUUGGACUAGCAGUCACAGAAUUAGAGACCAGUUCUUGCCUUUGGAAAGGAUGUUUCAGGCUAGAGGGGAUGGUGUGGAUUAGUGUUCUUUCCAGUAGAAGCUCCACCUGUCAUCUGUCCAUCCAUUCAGCCAUCCAUCCAUCCCACUAUCCGUUACUUCUUGAGCAUCUCCUAUUUUUUAACUCUGCACUUCUAAAGAGUCAAAGAACAAAGAUCAGCUUCAUCCCUGGAUUAGCAGAAUACAGCCAGUAAAUCACUAAAUCUCCACAUAGAAUAUUUGGCAUUAACUCCUCAGUCCCUUCCCUUGUGUAACUGGUCAGAGGUGCUGAGGGGUCUUCUUGCAGACCAAUGAUUGGUUAACACGUUCUUUUCAGCUAAAUGACAAACAGUUUAAUUCCAAUAGAAUGCCUAAAAGUCCUUCUCAGAACUGACAUUGGGAUUAUCUACAUUUUAUAUUAUUCAUUGCAAAUUUAAAUUUCUUAUCAGUUUCUGGAAUGCUCGAGCCCUCUCAACAUCUGUUCUUCACAGUGUCCACAUUUUAUGCUCAGAGAAUGCAAAUUACCUUUAAUAUUAGCUUUGCCUACAAAUAAAGACGGAUCUGCUUUCAGAGUACCUCCAGUGCACUGCGACGUGUUCACCAUCUUCUCUGACCUGUCCCUGCCCUUUAAUAAGAAUUCUCGAGUUGAUUGAGCUUUCAUACUUUGGACAGUAUCAGCCUGGUGAGACGGCUUGGUGGAUUUCCCAGCUUGCACCUCUCCAAAGAGAAGAUGUCAUUUGCUAUCUCAGUCUCCAGAUGUCCAAAACUUACUUUUGUUGGUCACUAAGAGCAAAAUUGUCAAACAGGUGACAGUUUUGGUAAGUAUAUUGCUUAGGACUAUUUAUUCUUUAAGAAAAAUUUUAAAUAACUUAUUAAAACUAUUUUGAAAACUAAACAAAUAAGUCAAUAAAUAGACAGCCCAACUCAAACUGGCUUCAACAACAGAGGGGAUUUAUUGGCUUACUCUAUUGAAAGAACAAGGAAGAACAGAAUUCAAGGUUGGUUUGAACCAACAGAUCCAUUAAGUCAUCAAGGUCCUGGUUUUAUUUUAACUUUUUUCCCUAUUUGCAUUCAGGCCAGUUUCCUUUAGGAUGGCAAAGUGUCCGAGGCUCUAGGGUAGUUAUCGUCAAGCCACACUGUCCAGGAGUGAGGUUGGCUUUGGUGGCUCUUUCGGACAAAGUUGAGAACUUACUCUCUCAGAAAUCCUAGCAAACUUUCCCUCAAGACUCAGAUGGGAAAAGGCCAUUUGUUGAUUGGCAUAGACUUCAUUUACCUGAACCAAUCAUUGUGGCAGGAGGACUGGAAUCUAAUCUCUGAUUGGUCCAACCUUGCAGCUGGUGGGGUCAAUCUCCAUUUAAAUCCCAUGGCUACUGCACAGUGGAGGAAAGAAGAAUUAUUGGGGAUUCAGCUGUAAUUUCUACUACAGUAAGACUUUAAACAUUUUCAGUAUUCAAUCAAUCAGCAUGUUUUGAGUGCCUUCUACAAGCAAUGAACCCUACUAGAUUUUGGCAAUCGACUAUAAAAUUCCUGGUCUUGACCUUUACGACUACUGUGAUGACAAAGCAAUGAUUGAAAGCUUAGAGCAACGGGCUGAUUCUGUCCUUCAGAGGUGAGUGUGGAGGGAGCUCGUUAGAAGAAUUAUAGUAGGUACCUAGAAUUUGAACAAUUCAAAUGAAGAAGUUUCAAAGCACCUAAGCAGGAACCUCUUAUUUGCAUUAAAAAAGGUAGGAGUAACUGAGAAGUUUCUUUCCUCCCCCCUCCCAUGUCUAUGUUUGAUGACAGUUGUUUGGAGGAAAUCAUGUCCACUAGACCCAGUGAGCUGUGGUACAACUCCAGUUAAUAUUUGACUAUUGGCUUCCUGUUACACAGAAAACUAAUAGUGAAGAAUAAACCACAAUGUAAGUUAAGUCUCUUCUCCUUUUCUCCCUCCCUUUUGGUGUCUCCACCCCUUUAAAGAGAUGCCUUUCUGUUUAGAGGAUGUGUUCUCUGUUCAUCCCAACUGGAGAAAGUGGGGAGAAUCCUUUGAUGAUAUUUGAACUCUCUUGUCUACUUUCCAAAGUGGUUGAAGGAAGUUCCAGUGACCAAGUCUUCCAAAGAUUCUGCCUCAUUUCAUGGCUUCUUGAGCAGAUAUCCGGCUGCCCGUCUUAGAGGUGAUCCACAUUUGUAGGUGAAGUAGAAGAGAGAAGAUGAAAAGAAAAUUGAAAAGAAAAUAGAGCUUUGGUGUGUGGUGUCAACAUGUGUCAAAAUGACAUAACUCCCCACGGAGAGAAAAGAAACUUCUAGUCCCAAGGACAAAACCCACCUGUUUUACUUAAUCCUCAAUUCCCCGUCUCACCACGUUCCCCCUCCAACCCUUGACAGAUUGAAGGAUCUUGUUGGCUCCGAUUGAUUCCCUGAACACCUGUGUCCACCAGACUGUCCUUUAUGGAUAUUUCCUGAUCUCUUGGCUUCGGCUGGCUUGUGUCUCCAUGGUAACAGGGAGUGGGGAGGGGGACGUGGGGGCAGCUCAGUCCAUUUGUCAUCAAUUGCCACUGUUUUGUUCUGCUUGGUGUGUGCUCUCAAUUGAGUCCUGGAGGAGGCAAAGCAGAACAGAGAGAUUCGGCUGAAGGACUGCUCCCGCCCUCUGAAACCGGGGGUGGGGGGAUGUAGCCGAGGGGACUGUCUUCAGAGAGGGAGAGAGCCCGGGUAUAGAGAUUAUAACCAAAUGCCAACCUUCUCUGGGAGAAUAAUUUUUCUGUGACUCAGAUUUUAUGUUUUAGGAGGGAGGAUGGCAUUCGUGUCCAUCCAAAGACCUUUAUUAUUUUGUUAAAGUAAGAGGAAGGAAAUUUUGCAACCUCCCCAUAAUAUAGAAUAAGAUGUCGUCUUUCUUAUUCUGGGUUGGAAUUUUUACUUAAAAAAAAAGUGAUUGGACUCCCACCGUGUCACUGCCUUAAACAGACCACGAGUUGUGCAUCUUGUUUCAUUUUGUGCCUUCUCUGUGUGCUGUGCAUUCAUUUAGAUGAUUCACAAAAGCCUGUCCCCUGUGCCUCCCCCGAUCAGGAUUAAAGAGCUCAAGCCCUGCCAGUUGGGUGGAAGCAUUGCUGGUUGGACCCAGCCUAUGAAUGCCCUUCUUCCCACUGAUCUGGGCCCGAGGAACUCUUUGUUUUGUUCCACUCCGAUCUUUGCCCUUAGCAGAGGCUCAGACCCAGUUCCUCCCAGACUCGUGAUGACUUGGAUGAUGUCCUCUCUCUCAUUCCAUGAGGAACUCACCAGUGUGAUCAAAUUCAAUGGCCCCUUCUCCAUCUGUUUACUAUUUGGCCUCUCUGCAUCAUUUACAACAUGUUAUCACUCCUCCUCUGCAACUUCUCUUCUUGGGCUCCCGUCACACAGAAUGCUCUGUGUUCUUUCUUCCUCUCUCUUGGUGCUUCUUGAUCAUCCUUCUUGGGUCUUUUGUUUCCUUCCACAAUUUCAAAGUUGGUAUUGUCCAAGGCUCUGUUCUUGGCCUGCUUUUCAUACUCCUCCUCACUCCUUGCAAUGUCAUCCACACCUAUAGCCUUAACCAUGAACUCUGAGGCUGACUCUCAAACCUGCCUCUAAACCAGGUCGCGCUUCUGAGCAACUCUGCAUGGAAAUGUACAAACUAUUCAAAACGAAUUUGACUUUCUCUUCAACUUGCCCUCCAUUUUCUCUGGUAUUGUUAGCAUCUGCGUUCUCCCAGUUGCUCAGACUUAAAAGCUUUGUAUCAUCUUUGAUUAUGCCUACAUAUGCCACAACUCUCAUCAGUCUUAUUUUCCUCCUCUGCCACUUUCUCCUCCUCCUUCUUCUCUGCGUGCCCCCCCCCCCCCCCCCCCCCCCCCCCCCCCCCCCCCCCCCC